UACACAUGCAAGUCGAACGGCAGCACGGGUGCUUGCACCUGGUGGCGAGUGGCGAACGGGUGAGUAAUACAUCGGAACAUGUCCUGUANUGGGGGAUAGCCCGGCGAAA
rnacentral:rRNA from 1 species